rnacentral:rRNA from 1 species
UACGGAGGGAGCUAGCGUUAUUCGGAAUUACUGGGCGUAAAGCGCACGUAGGCGGCUUUGUAAGUUAGAGGUGAAAGCCUGGAGCUCAACUCCAGAACUGCCUUUAAGACUGCAUCGCUUGAAUCCAGGAGAGGUGAGUGGAACUCCGUAGUGUAGAGGUGGAAUUCGUAGAUAUUAGGAAGAACACCAGUGGCGGAAGGCGGCUCACUGGUCCGGUACUGACGCUGAGG